GUUCUGUUCCUGGAGAUCCUUCCCUUGGGGAGUUUUCCUUGCAAGCCUGGAUCUUUGGCAAUGGAGAGUCCGUGUCAAACACAACCAGAUGGUGGAUGCAGCUCUGCAUUGCAUGGAGAUACCAGGGAUAACCUGUGCCGAGCGGCCCUGCCUUCCAACUCUGCUCCAGCUCUAACAAACUCAGGAGUGUUGGUUUUGCAAAAGGGGAUGGAAGAGCAAGAAAAAUUCCUUUUGAGGGUUUAAUUCCUCUAAUGUUCCUUUAUCACCUGAGCUUUGAGCACUCUGAGUUCUUGUAACUACAGUGCUAGAGUCACCCCUAAGUCCAGCACAGCUUGGGCUCCCUGACCUCUCAGCAGCGUGGGGGUUUCAUUGCCUGAUUGCAUUCUGCAUGAAGCAGCUUUUCCUGUCUCCUCAUCAUAGGCUGAGCUGCCAUUAGUGCUCCUGAGUGCCUCAAUGUUUCUUGUGUUGUGAGAUACACAGAGAAGAAUAUCUCUCUGUGGGUGUCACGCUCUUCAGGCCCAACCUCUGCCAAUGUCAGGGGGAUGAUGAGCAUGGAGGUGUAUGCAGAGGCUUGCAUGUAGCCACAAAAUGCCAAGUGUUUCUUAAGAACAGAAAUAGAAGGAAUGCAGUGAUGUUGGAUGACUACUACCCAGGAUCAAUUUUCCCAAUUCUCCUCCUUUCAGGAGCUGGUAGCUUCCAUCAUAAGCUGCCACUUGCCAAGUAAAUGCAGCCUUUCAUGUUGGUAAAGGAUGCCACAAACAGGCACAUUUACUCCUCCCCUUUCCCUUUUACCUCCUACGCUCUCUACCAUUCAUCUGGGAUAAUACAGGUCACUUGGAGGAAUUCCUCCCACCUGCUGCUCAUCUAUAGACCAUUGGCAUAAGCAAAACUCAUCUACUGCAUGAAGCCAGCAGAGCUGCAGAGGAACUCGCCCCCCUCCAUCGUGCCUUGUGUACCGGCUGUAAAAAGCUCUCUUUGGUUUUCACACUGGGUUUACCCUUCAGCUCUGGUAGAGGAGGGAAAAGAAAGAGGUUGUGGGAGAAAAAAGCUCAAGUUUUGAUUUUCAGAAUGAGCAAAUUGAUGUGGAAGUCACAGAUGGUGAAUAAAUAUGGGACACAGAAUUGUCAUUUGGCAGCCAGUUCUGACCAAUUUAAGAGGGAAACUGUUAUCCAGUUUGGUUCAGGGAAAAUGUAUUCUGGGCAGCAGUUAGUCAUUUAAGAGGCCUCAUUGUUUCAUAAAAUAUAUUUGGGUUUGAUACAAACACAAUUAAUUCAGCUUUCUAACACUGUGUUUGAACCAAACCCAAAAUAUUUGUUGUGAACAUUUAUUCUUUUAUGCCAUUUAUCAGUUCCAGGUUCUUUUCUGAAGGCUUAGAUUUAAAAAGGGACUUGUAACAAAGAAAGAACAUUUGGGGUGACUUCAGCUGGUACAGCAAACUCCAUUCUUGUGCACUGUUUUGAGAUGUGCCUCCAAAUUAUCUGACAAAUGAUAUGUUCCAAAUUAAGUCCCUCAUUACCCAUGCUUUUCUAUUGCUAAGUGCUGCACGGCAUUCUCCAUUAUUAUACCGCUGUAUUUUGGGGACCUGUUAAGCUUUGCUUGCUGGGUCUCACAACUAAAGCAAAAGAUUUGAGGCAUAGCAAAGCCAGCAGUGCUGCCAGCUGAAUCCAACUGCAUUUAAGCUCAUGCUUUGGCUUCCCAGCCUUUGAGGAGAUAACAUGAAUGUCUCCAGCCCUCCUGACUCAAAGGCUUCUUCACUCCCAGCUCUCCAUGCAGAUCUCCUUGGUGGUGUUUAGCAAAUUGUGCUUUGGAAGCAGAAAACAAAGGAUAUCACUGAUGAACUGGAAUGGUAAAUGGUUUUUCUCAGUGCAGGAGCAGCUUGCUGUCUCCCAUCUUACUCCGUUUUUCCUUCCCCAAAAUGUUUCCUAGCCAGUGGCUCCUGCAAAACUGUCCUUUCCAACAUGCAGCACUCAGAACUUACUGCAGUUGCAGAGCAGGUGCAGCAUCCAAGGUCCUGCUGUACAACUGCCAAGUGUUGACACUACAGAUGACAGAGGGGGGAAAUCAGAUCUCCACAUGGACAUGAGCCCCCUUCUCCAAUCUAUGUAACUCUGUGGAGAGAGGAACUGGACACAAAUAUUUCAGUUAUUCAGGUUAGGAGCCUCAUGGUGUUGAGCACUGCAGCUGAUGCUGCUCUGUGACCAAAGGGAUCUGAGCUCUUAUAGCCAGUGCACAAAGCCUAUGCUGCUGUAUGCCGUCCUUCACCGAUGGGGAAUCAGGACCACGUGUGUCACUGCUGAUGUGCAGAGCACAGCACUCCAUCCCACGCAUCAGUGCUAAUUAGUGAGAUUUCUGCUUCAAAUUAGCGACGCCAAAGCACUUUGAGAUCCACACAUGAAAAGAGCCGCAAAGGCCAAAGUGUUACUCAGCUCUUUGGUCACGGUGUUU
ensembl:lncRNA